rnacentral:rRNA from 1 species
AUUGAACGCUGGCGGCAGGCUUAACACAUGCAAGUCGAGCGAGCGGCGGACGGGUGAGUAAUGUCUGGGAAACUGCCUGAUGGAGGGGGAUAACUACUGGAAACGGUAGCUAAUACCGCAUACCAUCAGAUGUGCCCAGAUGGGAUUAGCUGGUGGGGGGGGGAAUGGCUAACCUGGGCGACGAUCCCUAGCUGGUCUGAGAGGAGGACCAGCCACACGGGAACGGAGACACGGUCCAGACGCCUACGGGAGGCAGAAGGGGGGAAUAUUGCAAAAUGGGCGAAAGCCUGAUGCAGCCAUGCCGCGUGUGUGAAGAAGGCCUUCGGGUUGUAAGGCACGUUCAGCGAGGAGGCGUUACUCGCAGAAGAAGCACCGGCUAACUCCGUGCCAGCCGCCGCGGUAAUAC